GAUGAAGAACGUAGCGAAAUGCGAUAAGUAGUGUGAAUUGCAGAAUUCAGUGAAUCAUCGAAUCUUUGAACGCACAUUGCGCCCCUUGGUAUUCCAUGGGGCAUGCCUGUUCGAGCGUCAUUUGUACCUUCAAGCUUUGCUUGGUGUUGGGUGUUUGUCCUGAGGGACUCGCCUUAAAGUAAUUGGCAGCCAGUGUUUGGUUUUGAAGCGCAGCACAAGUCGCGAUUCAAGGCUAUACACCAGCUUCCACAAGCCUUUUUCACUUUGGACCUCGGAUCAGGUAGGGAUACCCGCUGAACUUAAGCAUAUCAAUAAGCGGAGGA
rnacentral:misc_RNA from 1 species